rnacentral:rRNA from 1 species
UGCCAGCAGCCGCGGUAAUACGAAGGGGGCUAGCGUUGUUCGGAAUCACUGGGCGUAAAGCGCGCGUAGGCGGUUUCGUAGGUCAGAUGUGAAAUCCCGGGGCUCAACCCCGGAAGUGCAUUUGAAACCCCGGAACUUGAGUAUGGGAGAGGGAAGUGGAAUUCCAGGUGUAGAGGUGAAAUUCGUAGAUAUCUGGAGGAACACCGGUGGCGAAGGCGACUUCCUGGACCAAUACUGACGCUGAGGUGCGAAGGCGUGGGGAGCAACCAGGAUUAGAUA